UCUCGCUGGCUGUCCCUAUCUCUGUCAAAUAAAUAAAUAAAAUAUUAAAAAAAUAAAAAAUAAAAAAAAAAUAAAAGGGAAGGGUGAUGCCCGUCUGUCCCAGGGCCAGCCUCUCUGCCACAAGAACCUCUUCUUGCUUCGACCUAUUCUAUGCAAAAGCCAAGUCAUAGCCUCUUCCCUCUAGCAGUCCUCUCCUUCCCAUUCCUCAGGUACGAUGUUCUGUCCCCAGGAGAGAUGCAGAGGCUCUCCUUUGCCCGGCUCUUCUACCUACAGCCCAAGUAUGCAGGUGAGGUCUGCCCCGGAAGUGCGCGCGCCGGUACAGUGCGCUCACGGGUGUGUGUGUGUGCGCGCGCGCGCACAUGCGCGUGCACAUGUGUAACCGCAGAGGCGUUCAGACGGGUAGGAGAGCACCCCUGUGCGUGGCCGGGCAUCUCUGUCCCUGCAGGGAGGCCGGCAGGGCUCUGCCCAUGCGGCAGCAAGGUUGGCAUCCUCAGAGCAGCUCUGGAUGUGUUACGCUACCAGUUCGAGAGCAUUCUGCCGUGGCAGCAGCUGGAGCGAGCCUUGAAAGUUGUGAUUUUAUGCUUCUCAGCCUCUGCCGUGAAUAAGUGGGCAACACCCCAGCUCUGCCUGGCAGGGGGAUGGCAGGUGUGAACUUCUUCAGGGACUGGCAUCCUGGGGGGAACUGAGAGGCGCUGGUUUGAGCGGUUCUAGCUGGUGCUGGCGCUUUCCCUAGGAAGCUGGGAUCUUGUCCUGCUGCUGGUAGAAGGCUUCCCCCGUGGAGCCUCGCCCUCUGCUCUGUUGGCCCCCGCUCUUCCCGUGGCAGGGCUCCUGGAAGCCCGAGCAGCUUUCAGCCAGCCUCGCCCUGGGUCCCAGCCAGAGUGCUUGACGAAGCCACCAGUGCCCUGACCGAGGAGGUGGAGAGCGAGCUCUACCGCAUUGGCCAGCAGCUGGGCAUGACGUUCAUCAGUGUGGGACAUCGACAAAGCCUCGAGAAGUUUCACUCUUUGGUUCUGAAACUCUGUGGGGACGGAAGAUGGGAACUGACCAGAAUCAAAGUGGAGUGAAGCCAAAGGUGUGGUUGGCCACUGGAAGAAGUGCCCAGCUCGGGGCAGAUCGGCGUUCUCCCGGAGAGACCGGGGCGUGGGGGGAGGGCUGCAGGAGACCCCUGGCUCACCUCCCAGCCCCUGUGCGGGGAGCGCUGGCAGCAGGGGGCCCUGCCGGGAUGUGGCACUCUGGGGGGCACCCAGUCCUUCCAGGGCGCCUCCUGCUGCCUCAGCCAGAGCUCCCUGCACACUAACUGCCACUUACUUACGAACAGCCUCAGAUUGUGUUUUCUAAAGAAAAACCUGAAAGUGUGGGAUCUGUGAGAAAUGUAGGGUCAAUGUGGAGAGAAUAUCGGGCUUAAAGUCAAGAGAUCCAGAAAUUUUUUAAAUCUGUUAAAUUUUGUAGCAAUAGAUUUUUUUAACUUUAAUCAACUUAUUUAAAUUUUAUAACUUUUUUUUAAAGAAAAGAUAAACAUUUCUUACAAAUUGCGGCUUUCUCCCUUUCUGUUUCUUUUCUACUGUAAGGUAACCUUUCAAAUUGAAUCCGCAGACUUGUAUUUGGGAGAUGGGGGGAAGGGAGAUGCGCUCUCCAUUGUACUGGAACCUUCGCCUAGGUUUUUACUCCACACCUGCACUUUCUCUCUGUCGGUUGUACCUGAGUCACUAACCUCUAGGGCCUUCUGGUUUUCUUAUCCUAACCCAGGUAAAAAUAAAUCUCUUUCCCCUCAGUCAGCUAAAAUAAGGUUAGAGAUUUUUCCAAAAUAAUCUUUGUGAGGAAACAGCACCAACCAGGGGGAACAGACAAAACCCAGAAAUCACAAAAACUUGAGAUGGAAAACGAUUGAGCCUGAAGUCCUUAUUCUAGAACAGUGUUCCCCAAAGUUGAGUUGUCAGGGCAGCACGUUCAUGAUUUUUGCCCAAUCUCUGUACUUCUUAUACUGUGAAUUACUUAAUUUUUUUUUUAAGAUUUUAUUUGACAGAGCGAGAAAGCAGAAGGAGGGGGAGCAGCAGAGGGAGAGGGAGAAGCAGGCUCCCCGCUGAGCAGGGAGCCCGACGUGGGGCUCGG